AAGGGGAUAGUGAGAAGUUGUUCCAUUUAGAACACUGAGGCCCUAGCUAAGAGACUCCUUGUUCCAGGGAUGGACAGAAACAUGAAAUGCCUACUCCACAAUGCUAUGUUGAACAACCAGAGGAAGUUAUAGGAUCUCACAGGGACAUAACUGAUCAGUCAACUGGGCUUUGUGACCACUUAUACAAUAGUUUGUUCCUGUUGAAAUAAAGAUGUUCACUCCACUGAAUAGUCACCAAGACUGACCAUGUUUUGGAAAUAGGAAAGCCAAACCCAGAGAAAGCAGAUCCCUGUCACUUGCACUUUUAAGAAAAACUGAAGUUUUGUCCACCUUCCCUCUACAUACCUCCAAAGAGGGUAGCCUGAGACUGUCCAUGUAAAGCACCUCUUAAGUGUUCAUUUUGGGUUCACGAUUUGUGAAGAUCU
rnacentral:lncRNA from 1 species